UACGUAGGUGGCAAGCGUUGUCCGGAAUUAUGGGGCGUAAAGCGCGCGCAGGCGGUUAUGUAAGUCUGAUGUUAAAGCCCGGGGCUCAACCUCGGUUCGCAUUGGAAACUGCGUAACUUGAGUGCAGAAGAGGAAAGUGGUAUUCCACGUGUAGCGGUGAAAUGCGUAGAGAUGUGGAGGAACACCAGUGGCGAAGGCGCCUUUCUGGUCUGUAACUGACGCUGAGGCGCGAAAGCGUGGGGAGCAAACAGG
rnacentral:rRNA from 1 species